GACGAACGCUGGCGGCACGCUUAACACAUGCAAGUCGAACGAGAGAAGAGAAGCUUGCUUUUCUGAUCUAGUGGCGGACGGGUGAGUAACACGUGAGCAAUCUGCCUUUCAGAGGGGGAUACCGAUUGGAAACGAUCGUUAAUACCGCAUAACAUAAUUGAACCGCAUGAUUUGAUUAUCAAAGAUUUAUCGCUGAAAGAUGAGCUCGCGUCUGAUUAGCUAGUUGGUAAGGUAACGGCUUACCAAGGCGACGAUCAGUAGCCGGACUGAGAGGUUGAUCGGCCACAUUGGGACUGAGACACGGCCCAGACUCCUACGGGAGGCAGCAGUGGGGAAUAGUGCACAAUGGAGGAAACUCUGAUGCAGCGAUGCCGCGUGAGGGAAGAAGGUUUUAGGAUUGUAAACCUCUGUCUUCAGGGACGAAAAAAGACGGUACCUGAGGAGGAAGCUCCGGCUAACUACGUG
rnacentral:rRNA from 1 species